rnacentral:rRNA from 1 species
GGCUUAGAGUUUGAUCAUGGCUCAGGAUGAACGCUGGCGGCGUGCCUAAUACAUGCAAGUCGAGCGAAGCGCUUGCCUUUGAUCCUUCGGGUGAAGAGGCUUGCGACUGAGCGGCGGACGGGUGAGUAACACGUAGGGAACCUGCCACACACAGGGGGAUAACAGUUAGAAAUGACUGCUAAUACCGCAUAAGCGCACAGGACCGCAUGGUCUGGUGUGAAAAGCUCCGGCGGUGUGAGAUGGACCUGCGUCUGAUUAGCCAGUUGGCGGGGUAACGGCCCACCAAAGCGACGAUCAGUAGCCGGCCUGAGAGGGUGGACGGCCACAUUGGGACUGAGACACGGCCCAGACUCCUACGGGAGGCAGCAGUAGGGAAUAUUGCACAAUGGGGGAAACCCUGAUGCAGCGACGCCGCGUGAGCGAAGAAGUAUCUCGGUAUGUAAAGCUCUAUCAGCAGGGAAGAAGAUGACGGUACCUGACUAAGAAGCACCGGCUAAAUACGUGCCAGCAGCCGCGGUAAUACGUAUGGUGCAAGCGUUAUCCGGAUUUACUGGGUGUAAAGGGAGCGUAGACGGAAGAGCAAGUCUGGAGUGAAAGCCCGGGGCUCAACCCCGGGACUGCUUUGGAUACUGUUUAUCUAGAGUGCCGGAGAGGCAAGCG